rnacentral:rRNA from 1 species
UACGAGGGGGGCAAGCGUUGUUCGGAAUUACUGGGCGUAAAGCGUGCGCAGGCGGCUUCUCAAGUCAGGGGUGAAAGCCCAGAGCUCAACUCUGGAAUUGCCUUUGAGACUGAGUGGCUUGAGUACGGGAGAGGUGAGUGGAAUUCCCAGUGUAGAGGUGAAAUUCGUAGAUAUUGGGAAGAACACCGGUGGCGAAGGCGGCUCACUGGCCCGUAACUGACGCUCAUGCACGACAGCGUGGGGAUCAAACAGG